UACAGAGGUCCCAAGCGUUGUUCGGAUUCACUGGGCGUAAAGGGUGCGUAGGCGGUCGGGUAAGUCUGAUGUGAAAUCUCACAGCUUAACUGUGAAACUGCAUUGGAUACUAUUCGGCUUGAGAGUUGGAGGGGGGACUGGAAUUCUUGGUGUAGCAGUGAAAUGCGUAGAUAUCAAGAGGAACACCAGUGGCGAAGGCGGCUGUCUGGUCCGGUUCUGACGCUGAGGCGCGAAAGCGUGGGGAGCAAACAGG
rnacentral:rRNA from 1 species